ACCACUCCAAUGUUCCUCCCACAGCUCUUGUCAAGAUUACCCACUCAAUUUUCCAUGUCAAUGAAGGUGGCAGCUGUGACAGUAAUGAUAAGAAGCCACCUUUUAGCAAGACCGCUUCGUUCCAGCAGUUCAUUCCGCAUGACUAUGACGCCAGUGACCAUGGGACUUCGAGCUUCCCUGUUGCAGAUGUGCACAGGAUUGGGAUA
rnacentral:misc_RNA from 1 species